rnacentral:tRNA from 1 species
GGGCCGAUGGUCUAAUGGUAUGACACUGCCUUGGCAGGGCAGAAACUCCGGGUUCAAUUCCCGGUCGGUCCA